rnacentral:tRNA from 1 species
GCCGUGGUAGCUCAUUGGCAGAGCAGACGCCUGAAGAGCGCCUGGUAGGGAGUUCGAUUCUCCCCCGCGGCA